GGGUUGUGAGGUUAAGCGACUAAGCGUACACGGUGGAUGCCCUGGCAGUCAGAGGCGAUGAAGGACGUGCUAAUCUGCGAAAAGCGUCGGUAAGGUGAUAUGAACCGUUAUAGCCGGCGAUGUCCGAAUGGGGAAACCCAGUGCAAUUCGUUGCACUAUCGUUAACUGAAUACAUAGGUUAACGAGGCGAACCGGGGGAACUGAAACAUCUAAGUACCCCGAGGAAAAGAAAUCAACCGAGAUUCCCCCAGUAGCGGCGAGCGAACGGGGAGCAGCCCAGAGUCUGAAUCAGCUUGUGUGUUAGUGGAACGGUCUGGAAAGUCCGACGGUACAGGGUGAUAGUCCCGUACACCAAAAUGCACAGGCUGUGAACUCGAAGAGUAGGGCGGGACACGUGGUAUCCUGUCUGAAUAUGGGGGGACCAUCCUCCAAGGCUAAAUACUCCUGACUGACCGAUAGUGAACCAGUACCGUGAGGGAAAGGCGAAAAGAACCCCGGCGAGGGGAGUGAAAAAGAACCUGAAACCGUGUACGUACAAGCAGUGGGAGCACCUUCGGGUGUGACUGCGUACCUUUUGUAUAAUGGGUCAGCGACUUAUAUUCUGUAGCAAGGUUAACCGUAUAGGGGAGCCGCAGGGAAACCGAGUCUUAACUGGGCGUUAAGUUGCAGGGUAUAGACCCGAAACCCGGUGAUCUAGCCAUGGGCAGGUUGAAGGUUGGGUAACACUAACUGGAGGACCGAACCGACUAAUGUUGAAAAAUUAGCGGAUGACUUGUGGCUGGGGGUGAAAGGCCAAUCAAACCGGGAGAUAGCUGGUUCUCCCCGAAAGCUAUUUAGGUAGCGCCUCGUGAACUCAUCUUCGGGGGUAGAGCACUGUUUCGGCUAGGGGGUCAUCCCGACUUACCAACCCGAUGCAAACUACGAAUACCGAAGAAUGUUAUCACGGGAGACACACGGCGGGUGCUAACGUCCGUCGUGAAGAGGGAAACAACCCAGACCGCCAGCUAAGGUCCCAAAGUCAUGGUUAAGUGGGAAACGAUGUGGGAAGGCACAGACAGCCAGGAUGUUGGCUUAGAAGCAGCCAUCAUUUAAAGAAAGCGUAAUAGCUCACUGGUCGAGUCGGCCUGCGCGGAAGAUGUAACGGGGCUAAACCAUGCACCGAAGCUGCGGCAGCGACACUAUGUGUUGUUGGGUAGGGGAGCGUUCUGUAAGCCUGCGAAGGUGACCUGUGAGGGUUGCUGGAGGUAUCAGAAGUGCGAAUGCUGACAUAAGUAACGAUAAAGCGGGUGAAAAGCCCGCUCGCCGGAAGACCAAGGGUUCCUGUCCAACGUUAAUCGGGGCAGGGUGAGUCGACCCCUAAGGCGAGGCCGAAAGGCGUAGUCGAUGGGAAACAGGUUAAUAUUCCUGUACUUGGUGUUACUGCGAAGGGGGGACGGAGAAGGCUAUGUUAGCCGGGCGACGGUUGUCCCGGUUUAAGCAUAUAGGCUGGUUAUCCAGGCAAAUCCGGAUAAUCAAGGCUGAGGUGUGAUGACGAGGUACUACGGUGCUGAAGUAACAAAUGCCCUGCUUCCAGGAAAAGCCUCUAAGCAUCAGGUAACAUCAAAUCGUACCCCAAACCGACACAGGUGGUCAGGUAGAGAAUACCAAGGCGCUUGAGAGAACUCGGGUGAAGGAACUAGGCAAAAUGGUGCCGUAACUUCGGGAGAAGGCACGCUGGUGUGUAGGUGAAGUCCCUGCGGAUGGAGCUGAGACCAGUCGAAGAUACCAGCUGGCUGCAACUGUUUAUUAAAAACACAGCACUGUGCAAACACGAAAGUGGACGUAUACGGUGUGACGCCUGCCCGGUGCCGGAAGGUUAAUUGAUGGGGUUAUCCGUAAGGAGAAGCUCUUGAUCGAAGCCCCGGUAAACGGCGGCCGUAACUAUAACGGUCCUAAGGUAGCGAAAUUCCUUGUCGGGUAAGUUCCGACCUGCACGAAUGGCGUAAUGAUGGCCAGGCUGUCUCCACCCGAGACUCAGUGAAAUUGAACUCGCUGUGAAGAUGCAGUGUACCCGCGGCAAGACGGAAAGACCCCGUGAACCUUUACUAUAGCUUGACACUGAACAUUGAGCCUUGAUGUGUAGGAUAGGUGGGAGGCUUUGAAGCGUGGACGCCAGUCUGCGUGGAGCCAACCUUGAAAUACCACCCUUUAAUGUUUGAUGUUCUAACGUUGGCCCCUGACCGGGGUUGCGGACAGUGUCUGGUGGGUAGUUUGACUGGGGCGGUCUCCUCCCAAAGCGUAACGGAGGAGCACGAAGGUUAGCUAAUCCUGGUCGGACAUCAGGAGGUUAGUGCAAUGGCAUAAGCUAGCUUGACUGCGAGCGUGACGGCGCGAGCAGGUGCGAAAGCAGGUCAUAGUGAUCCGGUGGUUCUGAAUGGAAGGGCCAUCGCUCAACGGAUAAAAGGUACUCCGGGGAUAACAGGCUGAUACCGCCCAAGAGUUCAUAUCGACGGCGGUGUUUGGCACCUCGAUGUCGGCUCAUCACAUCCUGGGGCUGAAGUAGGUCCCAAGGGUAUGGCUGUUCGCCAUUUAAAGUGGUACGCGAGCUGGGUUUAGAACGUCGUGAGACAGUUCGGUCCCUAUCUGCCGUGGGCGCUGGAGAAUUGAGGGGGGCUGCUCCUAGUACGAGAGGACCGGAGUGGACGCAUCACUGGUGUUCGGGUUGUCAUGCCAAUGGCACUGCCCGGUAGCUAAAUGCGGAAGAGAUAAGUGCUGAAAGCAUCUAAGCACGAAACUUGCCCCGAGAUGAGUUCUCCCUGAGACUUUAAGUCUCCUGAAGGAACGUUAAAGACGAUGACGUUGAUAGGCCGGGUGUGUAAGCGCAGCGAUGCGUUGAGCUAACCGGUACUAAUGAACCGUGAGGCUUAACCUUACAACGCCGAAG
rnacentral:rRNA from 1 species